CGUGCGUUAUCGAUAAUGUUCGGUGCCUGGAGAAAAUUGACAAUUGACAAGAGAAUUAAUUGUUUAAUAUUUUUGACUUUUUAGUUCGUUUAAUUUAAUAAUUACUAAAACCAGUAGUUCGAAAGAUAUAUUUAAUAAUAAAAAUCUAAAAAAUUAAUUAUCUAUUAACGUGGAUUUGGACGACAAUAGGUUUUUAGUUUGUGAUGUUUCAUGUGAUGAUCAUUUUCAUGUUCAUCGUCUUUGAAUUGACAUGAGGAUAUCUAUGGAAAAUUAACUAAUCUGAAAGUAAGCCAACAUAUCGUUUGUCCUUUGUGUGCUAAAGAAAAGAUUUUCUUUUCGCAUCAUGAGGAAGUAUUACAUCAAUUAAAAAAUGUUAGGAAGUUGAUUACUUGUCAUGGAAAAGUAUACCAAUGGAAAUUAUUUGUUAAAGAAGUAUAAUUCUAAGGGUUUUAAGAAUAAAUUGGUUGAACCCAAAAUCUGGAGGAAGUACCUAUAUCCAUACACAGAAUAUGCCCAUUAAGAAUACUAGUCCAAAUUUGCUUUAAUGGAACGAUUAGGGCCCAAUAUAUUUGAAACUCAUGUUGGACGUAGUA
rnacentral:lncRNA from 1 species